UUCUCACCCUGCCGCUGCCACCACUAUCUCGCCUCUCGCCGGCACCGCGCUACCGCCGCCACUGCCCACUGCCGCCACCACCCUCUCGCUGGCACUGCCUAUAGCACCUCAUCGUCUCACCCCCUGCAACAUCGUCCUCUCCUCACCCGUGUGUCGCCCGCAUCUACUCACCCAAACUCCGUCACCACCUCGUCACCAGGACCGCCCACCGCCGCCCCACCACCUGCCUCUCCCCUCUACAACAAUUCAUCCCUCACCCCCAGGGGGGAACCUUCUCGCCUCGUCCCUUUGCUAGGUUUUGGUGGCGCAUGUGAGAGGAGAACGACGCACGUGUAGACCGAGUGAAGUUCAAGCUCGGUAGCAUGAUGAGGCAGAUUCUAGUUCAAGUCGGCGACUAGGAUGAACAACAGAGCAUCGACCAACAGUUCUCUCCCGAUUCUAUCUACUGUUUGAUACCAAGUUGGGGGUCGCAAGCCACCAUCUCACCCAACACUGCCAUCAGCCUCACCCCAAGCUCUGGCCCGACUGUAGCUUCGACCCUAUUCUCCACCAAGCAAAGCCGCCUUCCCCAUCUUCCACCCUGCAGAUCAGGAACUUGACUCCUUGUUCUCAGCAGCGCAGUGAGGAGGUAAAUAUUUAGAGCCACUCUCGGUGAUUCGUGUGCUUUUCAUUGUGAUUGUUGUGCAGAGACAAAAUACAAUUUUAGAUCGUGUUGUUUUUAUCUGUUUAUGUUAAGCAAAGUUGAAGUUUUUAUUGAUAUAUAAUAGGAUUCAAGAAUGGAUAGAGGAUGGAUGGGCUUGACUAGGUACACCAACCUAUCAUGAUAAUUAAUGUCUUAUGUUUCUAUAAAUAUAUAAUGAUCAGUUUAAAUGACUAGUAAUGGUACAUGUAGGACAACACCACUGUAUGAAAACAGAGUCAUUGGAUUUCUAGAGUUUGCAUUUGCCCAUUCAUCAAAAGGGACAAGAUCUUAUGCCCUAGCAAGAGAUGUAAGGGGUACUGUUUAUGAAUGAUACGUCUCCAUCGUAUCUAUAAUUUUUGAUUGUUCCAUGCCAAUAUUCUAUAACUUUCAUAUACUUUUGGUAACUUUUUAUACUAUUUUUGGGACUAACAUAUUGAUCCAGUGCCCAGUGCCAGUUCCUAUUUGUUGUAUGUUUUUUGUUUCGUAGAAAAUCCAUAUCAAACGGAGUCCAAACCAAAUAAAAACAGACGAAGAAUAUUUGUGAUAUAUGGGAAGAAAAUCAACGCGAGAUGGUGCACGAGGGGGCACGAGGCAGGGGGUGCGCCCCUGACCCUCGUGGGCUCCCCGUAAGGCGGUUA